rnacentral:rRNA from 1 species
UCGCNCCUACCNUGCAGUCGAACGGAAACGAUGGGAGCUUGCUCCCAGGCGUCGAGUGGCGGACGGGUGAGUAAUACUUAGGAAUCUGCCCAUUAGUGGGGGACAACAUUCGGAAACGGAUGCUAAUACCGCAUACGCCCUACGGGGGAAAGCGGGGGAUCUUCGGACCUCGCGCUAAUGGAUGAGCCUAAGUCGGAUUAGCUUGUUGGUGAGGUAAUGGCUCACCAAGGCGACGAUCCGUAGCUGGUCUGAGAGGACGAUCAGCCACACUGGGACUGAGACACGGCCCAGACUCCUACGGGAGGCAGCAGUGGGGAAUAUUGGACAAUGGGCGCAAGCCUGAUCCAGCAAUGCCGCGUGUGUGAAGAAGGCCUGCGGGUUGUAAAGCACUUUCAGUAGAGAAGAAAAGCCUACGGUUAAUAACCGUGAGUCUUGACGUAACCUACAGAAGAAGCACCGGCUAACUCCGUGCCAGCAGCCGCGGUAAUACGGAGGGGGCAAGCGUUAUUCGGAUUUACUGGGCGUAAAGCGCACGUAGGCGGCGAUGCAAGUCGUAGGUGAAAGCCCUCGGCUCAACCGAGGAAUUGCCUACGAAACUGCGUCGCUUGAGUCCGGGAGGGGGGAGCGGAAUUCCCAGUGUAGCGGUGAAAUGCGUAGAUACUGGGAGGAACACCGGUGGCGAAGGCGGCUCCCUGGACCGGUACUGACGCUGAGGUGCGAAAGCGUGGGUAGCAAACAGGAUUAGAUACCCUGGUAGUCCACGCCGUAAACGAUGGGCACUAGGUGCAGCGGGUGUCGACCCCUGCUGUGCCGAAGUUAACGCAUUAAGUGCCCCGCCUGGGGAGUACGG